UACGUAGGGGGCAAGCGUUGUCCGGAUUUAUUGGGCGUAAAGAGCGUGUAGGCGGCUUUACAGGUCCGUUGUGAAAACUCGAGGCUCAACCUCGAGACGCCGGUGGAAACUGUAAGGCUAGAGUCCGGAAGAGGAGAGUGGAAUUCCUGGUGUAGCGGUGAAAUGCGCAGAUAUCAGGAGGAACACCCGUGGCGAAAGCGGCUCUCUGGGCCGAUACUGACGCUGAGGAGCGAAAGCGUGGGGAGCGAACAGG
rnacentral:rRNA from 1 species